rnacentral:tRNA from 1 species
GCCAGGGUGGUAUAGUGGUUUGAGCGUUGGACUGUGACUCUGGAGACCAGGGUUCGAAUUCCAGCUCAUCCA